UACGAAGGGGGCUAGCGUUGUUCGGAUUCAUUGGGCGUAAAGGGUGCGUAGGCGGCGCGGUAAGUCGGGUGUGAAAUCUCGGGGCUUAACUCCGAAACUGCAUUCGAUACUGCCGUGCUUGAGGACUGGAGAGGAGACUGGAAUUUACGGUGUAGCGGUGAAAUGCGUAGAUAUCGUAAGGAAGACCAGUGGCGAAGGCGGGUCUCUGGACAGUUCCUGACGCUGAGGCACGAAGGCCAGGGGAGCAAACGGG
rnacentral:rRNA from 1 species